rnacentral:rRNA from 1 species
AUUGAACGCUGGCGGAAUGCUUUACACAUGCAAGUCGAACGGCAGCACGGACUUCGGUCUGGUGGCGAGUGGCGAACGGGUGAGUAAUGUAUCGGAACGUGCCCAGUCGUGGGGGAUAACGUAGUGAAAAUUACGCUAAUACCGCAUACGAUCUAUGGAUGAAAGCGGGGGAUCGCAAGACCUCGCGCGAUUGGAGCGGCCGAUAUCAGAUUAGGUAGUUGGUGGGGUAAAGGCCCACCAAGCCUACGAUCUGUAGCUGGUCUGAGAGGACGGGCAGCCACACUGGAACUGAGACAAGGUCCAGACUACUACGGGAGGCAGCAGUGGGGAAUUUUGGAACAUGGGCGAAAGCCUGAUCCAGACAUUCCGCGUGCCGGAUGAAGGCCCUCGGGUUGUGAACUGCUUUUGUACAGAACGAAAAGGUUUCUACUAAUACUAGGAGCUCAUGACGGUACUGUAAGAAUAAGCACCGGCUAACUACGUGCCAGCCGCCGCGGUAA